UUGGCUUGAAAUACGGAGCACA
rnacentral:siRNA from 1 species